AUUGCCUAAGGAGGCUGUGGAAUCUCCAUCAUUGGAGAUUUGUAAGACCAGGUUAGAAAAAUACCUAUCAGGAAUGAUCUAGCCAAUAUUUGGUCCUGC